rnacentral:rRNA from 1 species
CCUACGGGUGGCAGCAGUGAGGAAUAUUGGUCAAUGGCCGGGAGGCUGAACCAGCCAAGUCGCGUGAGGGAAGACGGCCCUACGGGUUGUAAACCUCUUUUGUCAGGGAGCAAGGUGCAGGUCGGGACCUGCUGUGAGAGUACCUGAAGAAAAAGCAUCGGCUAACUCCGUGCCAGCAGCCGCGGUAAUACGGAGGGUGCAAGCGUUACUCGGAAUCACUGGGCGUAAAGAGUGCGCAGGCGGGCUUGUAAGUCAGAUGUGAAAUCCUGUAGCUUAACUACAGAACUGCAUUUGAAACUAUGAGUCUAGAGUGUGGGAGAGGUAGGUGGAAUUCUUGGUGUAGGGGUAAAAUCCGUAGAUAUCAAGAGGAAUACUCAUUGCGAAGGCGACCUACUGGAACAUUACUGACGCUCAUGCACGAAAGCGUGGGGAGCAAACAGGAUUAGAUACCCCUGUAGUC